GACAAUGAAAUAUGGGAUGCGAAGAAGUGAUUACUGUAUGGUCGCUUAUGUAGAACCAUCCAAAGCCCAUGUCCAAACAACAUAUUCAUGGAAGAAUGACAUCACCAACACAGAAUGUGCAGUCACUAUGGAAAUGGCCCCCGAAGGAUCAAGAGAAAUCUAUUACAGCUAAAGAAUAAAAAAGGUGGUGAGGAAAAUGCCUAUCGGGAUCAAAUUGGAGGUAAAAUUUAACCCGAGCAGUAUUGUUUCCAAGAAAGAAAACUUUGUGAUGUGCCUUGAAUUUAAGCCUGGAAGGUGGGAGCUGAACCAACAGCUUUAAUCUCACUUCUGAAGAUUUGCUCAGCCCACAUAUUUGGCACCACUAGAUGAACUAUUGCCAUGAAGGAUGGGACCAUGAGAGAUCUGUGCUUGGCAGUUGAAGAACUUAAUUUUCUAAUGAUCACUUGGCUGGCUGGAUCUAAUAAAUCUUCAUCUCGACAAGCCUGUGCCCAUGUGUGCUGAAAUGCUUCUUCCUCAUUUUUACUCAUCAGUGGGAGACUCUGGUUCCAAGAUUCAGAAGGGGACUAAUUACUAAGCUGUUCUUAAAGACAAGAACGAAUUUUGCACCUGAGUGCUUACAAGUCAAGCAUAGGGGAAAAAUUAACCACUUUUAGGAAUACCAAUUAGAAGUAAUAUUAUCUUGAUUGGCCUGCAAAUACCCAAAUGACUCACUGAGUGCAUUCCA